rnacentral:rRNA from 1 species
GACUCUCGGCAACGGAUAUCUAGGCCCUCGCAUCGAUGAAGAACGUAGCGAAAUGCGAUACUUGGUGUGAAUUGCAGAAUCCCGUGAACCAUCGAGUCUUUGAACGCAAGUUGCGCCCGGAGCCUCGGCCGAGGGCACGCCUGCUUGGGCGUCACGC